GCUCACCAGCCCGACGGCCAGACUGAUAAACUCCAGAAUACCUGCCACACAACAGCACUCGUCAGACAAUGACCAGACACCUUUACAACUGCAGCGCAGCUGCACAUCAACAAUGCCGCAUAGUCAAGUGGUCCUCAAACUUCAGUCAAGGGCGAGAGGCACGUAGAGCCGGAGCUGAGAGAAGACAUGGACAGAUGCAUGCGAAUUUAGCUGAUGCUAUUGAGGUUGGGGAAAUAUUCUUGUAGUCACCAAGAGAGUGUGUUGACAGUGCCUUGGGCAAAGCAAGUGAAGGAUUCGACUCAAGAACAUCGGGGCUCUGGGUUCAAAUACCUGAUAUGACGAGACGCUUCAGUGCGGUUUAAGAAACGAUCUCCACUGGAUCAAGCCUCGCAUUGAAUUGUGUUCAUCUUCUGAGGUAAAUUCUGGGUUAUUCCUCUCACUGCGUCUUCUUCUAGAAACGAAAGUUGGCCGAGAUGAACUUCCAUCUUCAGGUUCAUCGAAUGACCAAAAUUCUCCUAUCUGACUUAACGUCCCAUCUGUGAAGGCCAUCACAUGAACCCAU